GGAAGAGCUCAAAUUUAUAAUCUGGCACCUUCGGUGUCCGAGUUGUAAUCUCUAGAAAUGUUUUCCGCGUUGGACCGCACACAAGUCUGUUGGAAUACAGCGGCAUAGUGGUGAGACCCCCGUAUAUGGUGCGGACGCCCAGCGCUUUGUGAUACAUUUUCGAAGAGUCGAGUUGUUUGGGAAUGCAGCUCAAAUUGGGUGGUAAAUUCCAUCUAAAGCUAAAUAUUGGCGAGAGACCGAUAGCGAACAAGUACCGUGAGGGAAAGAUGAAAAGCACUUUGGAAAGAGAGUUAACAGUACGUGAAAUUGUUGGAAGGGAAACGCUUGAAGUCAGACUUGCUUGCCGAGCAAUCGGUUUGCAGGCCAGCAUCAGUUUUCCGGGAUGGAUAAUGGUAGAGAGAAGGUAGCAGUUUCGGCUGUGUUAUAGCUCUCUGCUGGAUACAUCUUGGGGGACUGAGGAACGCAGUGUGCCUUUGGCGGGGGUUUCGACCUCUUCAC
rnacentral:rRNA from 1 species